AGGCGGAUAGCUCAGGGGAAGAGCAUCGGCCUUACAAGCCGGGGGUCGCAGGUUCGAUUCCUGUUCCGCCUA
rnacentral:tRNA from 1 species